UCGUAAAAAGCUCACCAUGUCCAACUCUGCUGCCACUACCGUCGGUGCCACAAGUGGCGACGAGCCGUCGCUCACCGCGUCGACCAUCGAUGCCCAGGCCGUGGGAUCACACGUCCUCCGCAUCAACGGCUACUCCUACACCAAGGCGCUCGGCAACGGCAAAUUCAUCAAGUCGGAGAGUUUCACCGUCGGGGGGCAUCGUUGGUGUCUGAAAUACUACCCCGACGGUGACCGCGCAAACAAUUCGGCUUCGAUAUCAAUCUUCCUGCGUCUUGAUCACAGUGAUGUUGAUGAGGUCAAAGCAAAAUUCAGAAUUAGUUUGCUCGACCAGGCGGGGAACCCUGUGCCGUCUUACAGCCGUGACGGCGGUACGUCGACGUUCUCCCACAGGCAAGGUGGUAAUGCUGAAUGGGGUUACGGUCAUUUCAUCUGGCAGAGCGACCUGGAGAGACAAUACGUGAAGGACGAUGUUUUUUUUUAGUGUCAGGUGUGAUGUCGCCGUGCCACUAGGGAAAAUGGUCACCAAAGCCAUCCCGGUUUCCGCAGUUCGUUGUGCCGUUUGAAUGAGGACGGGGCGUCGACCCGUUGCCUGGGCAGCUGAGGUUGCUGCCAUCCCACCCGAGUUCAAGUCCCGGCUUGGACGCGUGGUGCUCCCGGAGUUUCUCCUAUAGGGGUUGUUUGGAUAGACAGAAUAUACAAAACCAGAUCUCCGUAAACCUGAAAAACUGUCCAACCGAAUAAAAUCUUGUUUGGCCGCUCUAUUCAAUCCAUGGAUAUAGGAAACUUGGUUUCCAGGAACCCAAUAUUUUGGGUUUGUGGAAAAACGGGUAUUAGUAGUUUUUCUAAAAAUGCGUUCCCGUAUUCUCAGAUCUCAACAGUUUUCCUCGCUCCCGUUUAUUUCUCAACAAACAACGACACAUAUAUGACUGCCAUGGCAUGGCCGAGCUCCAACCCCAGCUUGGCCGCCGUCGCGUAGCUGACUGCCAUGGACGUCACGAUGGAUGGCAUUGAGCACUCUCCUGAGUUGUGCUCUACCUGGGUCUUGGCGGCUCCCGUUUGUAGCUUGGGCGGCCGGCGUCGAGGGGCUGAGGACGGCGGACGCCGGACGGUAGGCGCGACGACCCAGGAGUGAGAGGAAGCGACGGCCGGCGUCCACGCACGCCAAGUCGUCGAUGCCCGCGGAGAAGCAUCUCGGUGAUGGGCAUCGGAACUUGCAAUAUCCACCAGUAGCGAAAUUGACGUAAGUGCACACGAGAAAGAGAAGGCCACGUGAAUCACUAUACAAACAAGGAACCCGACCAACUCGUUCUAUACUUUCCUAACUUCAAACAUAGUUUCCUAUAAACCGAUUAUUCAGAAAACAAUUAGUAAAACCGAUUUUGCUAAAAACCGGCUUAAAACUCGUUUUCUACAAAUCCAUAGCUAAAUACUUGAUAUCCAAACAACCCCAUAAAGAAAAGCCUUUGGGUUGGUCUCAUUUUUUUUUUGGUUGUGCCGUUUGAAUUUGCCUCGAUCGGUUGUGCGCGAUGUGAUGAGCGUUGGCUCAACGUUGGGGUAUCUUCUAGUAUCAGCGGGGAAUGUUCGCUUAAGCACACCUGUGCAAGUUGGUUUGGUCAUUGAGUCUUGUAAUGGAAUCACCGAACUUAUAAGGUGCAUUUCAGUCGUGUGUCGCUUUAGGUUUCUCGUAUUCCAGUUUCUAAACCGAAACUUUGUAGCUUCGGGUGUCAUCCUAUUAUGUCGAGUUGGGCGUGAAUUUGUCUUUGUAAUCGUCUAUGCAAGUCAAUGAAAACCAGCUGGUUCCCUUCGUGUUAAUACUGAACUAACUAGUCUGUUUUCCCAUACUUUCACGGGAACUCAAAGCGCGGUAGAUUGCAUCUUACUGUGGCGAUGCCUAUGCCUACUCCCAGCACUGGGAGCAGCAACGGGAGCAGCACUCCCAGCACUGUAUAUGCCUAACGAAUUCG
rnacentral:lncRNA from 1 species